UACGAAGGGGGCUAGCGUUGCUCGGAAUCACUGGGCGUAAAGCGCACGUAGGCGGAUUGCUAAGUCAGGGGUGAAAUCCUGGAGCUCAACUCCAGAACUGCCUUUGAUACUGGUGAUCUUGAGUCCGGGAGAGGUGAGUGGAACUGCGAGUGUAGAGGUGAAAUUCGUAGAUAUUCGCAAGAACACCAGUGGCGAAGGCGGCUCACUGGCCCGGUACUGACGCUGAGGUGCGAAAGCCAGGGGAGCAAAGCGGG
rnacentral:rRNA from 1 species